UUCUGCCAAUCCCGGGGCCGCGUGGAGGUGAUGGACGCAAGUGUGUGACCAAUGAGGAGGAGAAGCUGCCUCAGAGAGCCAGAGGGGAAGGAGUGGGGCGGGCCAACGCCCUCCCCUCCCUCAGGCGCCCGGGUCCUCCCUCCUGCCCAUUUCGGCCCUACUCCAUGAUUUCAGCCUGUAUCCUAAGCCCACCUAAGAAAAUGAAUCGGGCUGCAGACUUCUCAUAGUGCCCAGAUUGUGUACCUGUUGCCCCUCGGUGUUUUGAAACUUCUUCGGAGUUCGGCAGUGCAAGGAGGCCAGCAUCCUCAUCCCAGGACAUAGUGAUCUGCAGGAGGUCUCUACUGAUCUCAUCUGGUCUGGUCAAGACUUGGCUGGACUCAGCCGAAUUCAGCUGGGCUUUGCUCCAGGACACAGG